ACUGCUGUCUCCGCUCACCACCCCCCCCACCCCCCUCCGCAGCUUGACCCGGUAGUGAAGGCUGAGAGAGAGGCAGGCUGGGUCCGCCUGGCAGCCUACGAGAGGAGGCGGGAGCGGGAGAGGAGGGGAGCCGAGGCCCGGAGUGGGGAGGCCGGCAGGAAGGGCUGCGAGCCCAGCGCGGACCUUUCUUCAGCCUCCCGGCAGCCGAACGCAGCGCUAGGCUGCUGCGCUGUGAGGAUGCCCUGACUCAGUGCCGGACGCUGUGGCUGGUGGCGCCGCGAGCCUCCGGGCGUCGGAUCCCGGCAUGAGAAAGGGCAGAGCUGUGCCGUGCCCUCGCCCAGGAGAAGGCCUGGGCGCUGCGAGCCAGGUGGAGGCGUCGGAGUUCACUAAUUAGACAGGCUUCGUCUCCCACGUUUCAGUCAGACCCGUCUCAGAGUUCUCAGAAUUCCUCUCAGAGGAGAGUAAAGUUAGAACUGCAGGCUGGUUUUCCUGUCAGCGCCCGUACCUCGGGUGCAGAAGGGAACUUAGCGGAGGGUUGUCUGGUGAAAGGCGUUCCAGGCACUGCGGGGCAGGGGCUUCACUUUUCCAAGUUGGAAGAAACGGGAAGCAGUGGGGUGGGGGCAGCCGCGGUGAGCAGCCUCCUCAGAAAACUGGGCAGUUUCACGCGGGAUCUGCGGCGAGACCGCGGGGCACGCCCUCGUCGCGCGCGCCCUCAGAGCCAGGCUGGGACGAGGGGAAACCCUAAGCUGCCCUGAGGAGACCACCUCCUGCUACACUGAAGGAGAAGAAGGUUCGGAGGGCGACCAGAGCCACAGAACCGGGGCUGAAACUCAGCUCGCUGGUCCGCCACCAGGCAGGCUUCUUUACCUUCAGCAAGUUUGCAGCCGGGAGUCUACAGCACAGCUAAAGAGGGAGCAGCCACCUUACCUCCAUGUUUGGACAAGCAUGAAGAUAAGAACUUCCCUGUGUGCAUGAUGGAAAAAAAUGAUAGAAGGGGCCAAAUUCCCUUCACUAAUACUUGUUGAUAUGUGAGGAAAAAUAAAAUGCUAUUAUAAAGUUAA